CUUCUACAUUUUUACUCUCUUCUUCGUUUCUUCUUGGGCCAAAACCAAACCAGAGAAAAGCUCCGGAGAAUUUUUUUUCCCCUCUUCUUCGUUUCCUCUCGAACCCUUGAAUAUAUGUUUUCAUUUUCAAUUCUCUAUAUAAUUCAUCCCCUCCUCAAACAAAAACGAAGCAAAACAAAGAAUUAGGGAUUCUGAUUUUUGAUUUUUGAUUUUUCCUUUCUCCAAUUGGGGAUUUUUGGGUCAUCCAUGAAAUCGGUGGAAUCAGAUGAAGAAGAUUACUCCAACAAACUUGCGUGAAACCUCUCAAAGGCGUAAUUAGAAAGCGAAACAGAAGAAUGGAACUUGGAACUGUGAGAGUUUAUGAUGCAAGGAUUAUGUAAGUGACAAUUAUACAUUUUAGGAAGGCCCAAUUUCUUUCAGAAGAUUCCAGUUUGAUUAUUGGUAAGUCCACAAGCAACUGAAUCCAUUACAUUGCCUUACCAUCAAUACAUUUUUUUACCGUUUCAAUCCUUUUUGCACUUUUAGGCCAUUACUUAAGUUCGUAUUAGUCGGAUACCAUGUGGGUAUAUGCUGCUUAUGAAAAACAAAUGGGAAUUAGCGUUGCACUGGAGACGCCCACAAGUGUGUUAUUUUUUCUACACUUAAUGUUCGCUGCUUAAGAAGAAUGUGUGAUUAAGUUUAUAGAUACUAACUCACUGUAAGAAAUGCAGCAAUAGGACUGGUUUUUUUCCCUUUAAUGUUAGGGAAAUGUCACUGACACUUUGAAUCGCUUUGCUUCUUUCCUUGAGAAUCACCUUUACCAGGGUAGGGGAUACAGCAGAACCCACUGCUAAAUUACAUAGACCAGGUGAGUGGGGAUACCGUCAAGGUGCUCAAGGAAAGCGUAUGCUGGAAUAGUUCCGAUGGGGAUGGAAUAUGUGUUAACAUUCUAAGGGACCUAUAGGUUAAUUAGUUUAUUGUAGAAUGAAAUAUCCGAAUGUCAACAUUCGAGCUGAAUCAUGCUUAUACCAUCAUAGCAUUCUUUAAUGGUAGGUCAGUUCGUUACGAGUCAUUUAUUUGUAAGAUGGAAUACAUGUUUACAUAUGGCUUGAAUCAGCUUCAACGUUAGUCGCCAAUUUCUCACUGAAAUAGAUUAAGCGACCAAAGGUAGCAGAAAAAAGUUCAUUAGUCGAUAUCUCGCCUCUCAUAUAGCAGCGCCUUAGAUAAACAUUUAAUAAUUGAGCUGGAGAUUUGGAAGUGAUAUGUUGGGCAUGAAUGUCAGUUUUGCUUUGGUUCGUAAAGACAUCAUGUGUGUGUAUAAAAACUAAUGUGUAUUUCCUACUGUGCCUUAUAAGUAUCAAGUACAUAAGUGUUGCAGGACCCUUUGGGAAUGUCAAAACACUAUUAGCAAGCGACAGGAGCAUAGAAGUCUUUGUGGCAAUUGAAGACAAUGAAGUCUUCAAGCGGCAGGAGCAUAGAAGUCUCUCUAGCAAUUGAAGACAAUGAAGUCUUCAUUCUCCGUCGUAUCCCUAGAAGCAUAGAGCAAGCUCGAGAGUUGGUAGAAACAUUAAUGGAGCACAAUAGAGCACCAGAACCCCGUGGAAGUCAUAUAAUUACACAAGUUUGAAAUCAAUUGAUAAUCAGUGAAUGAUAUAUGUUGCAGUUUUAGGAGCGGAACGACAGGCGCAUCAUGCGUGUGAAAGAGAAGCAGAUCUUGAAAGGAAAACAAUGUCGAUGUGAAGUUGUUUUUUUCUUUCCUAUUUUUUUCAUUUAUCGCAUGUUCCUGCAGAACGGCGUGGCAAGUGCAUCGCACAUGCGUCUUUUCUAGUUCACAAUAAUGUUUUCAGUAUCAUUCAGAAAAGAAUAUGAAAUGAUGUUGAAAAUAA